rnacentral:rRNA from 1 species
AUUGAACGCUGGCGGCAGGGCCUAACACAUGCAAGUCGAGCGGAUGAAGGGAGCUUGCUCCUGGAUUCAGCGGCGGACGGGUGAGUAAUGCCUAGGAAUCUGCCUGGUAGUGGGGGAUAACGUCCGGAAACGGGCGCUAAUACCGCAUACGUCCUGAGGGAGAAAGUGGGGGAUCUUCGGACCUCACGCUAUCAGAUGAGCCUAGGUCGGAUUAGCUAGUUGGUGGGGUAAAGGCCUACCAAGGCGACGAUCCGUAACUGGUCUGAGAGGAUGAUCAGUCACACUGGAACUGAGACACGGUCCAGACUCCUACGGGAGGCAGCAGUGGGGAAUAUUGGACAAUGGGCGAAAGCCUGAUCCAGCCAUGCCGCGUGUGUGAAGAAGGUCUUCGGAUUGUAAAGCACUUUAAGUUGGGAGGAAGGGCAGUAAGUUAAUACCUUGCUGUUUUGACGUUACCAACAGAAUAAGCACCGGCUAACUUCGUGCCAGCAGCCGCGGUAAUACGAAGGGUGCAAGCGUUAAUCGGAAUUACUGGGCGUAAAGCGCGCGUAGGUGGUUCAGCAAGUUGGAUGUGAAAUCCCCGGGCUCAACCUGGGAACUGCAUCCAAAACUACUGAGCUAGAGUACGGUAGAGGGUGGUGGAAUUUCCUGUGUAGCGGUGAAAUGCGUAGAUAUAGGAAGGAACACCAGUGGCGAAGGCGACCACCUGGACUGAUACUGACACUGAGGUGCGAAAGCGUGGGGAGCAAACAGGAUUAGAUACCCUGGUAGUCCACGCCGUAAACGAUGUCGACUAGCCGUUGGGAUCGUUGAGAUCUUAGUGGCGCAGCUAACGCGAUAAGUCGACCGCCUGGGGAGUACGGCCGCAAGGUA